rnacentral:rRNA from 1 species
AUACGUAGGUGGCAAGCGUUGUCCGGAAUUAUUGGGCGUAAAGCGCGCGCAGGCGGGAAUGUAAGUCUGUCUUAAAAGUGCGGGGCUCAACCCCGUGAUGGGAUGGAAACCACAUUUCUUGAGUGCAGGAGAGGAAAGUGGAAUUCCCAGUGUAGCGGUGAAAUGCGUAGAUAUUGGGAGGAACACCAGUGGCGAAGGCGACUUUCUGGACUGUGUCUGACGCUGAGGCGCGAAAGCCAGGGGAGUGAACGGGAUUAGAUACCCCGGUAAUCCUGGCCGUAAACGAUGGGUACUAGGUGUAGGAGGUAUCGACCCCUUCUGUGCCGGAGUUAACGCAAUAAGUACCCCGCCUGGGGAGUACGGCCGCAAGGUUGAA